rnacentral:rRNA from 1 species
AAUAUUGCACAAUGGAGGGAACUCUGACGCAGCGACGUCGCGUGAGCGAAGAAGGUCUUCGGAUCGUAAAGCUUUGUCUUUGGGGACGAAAAAAAUGACGGUACCCAAGGAGGAAGCCCCGGCUGACUACGUGCCAGCAGCCGCGGACAUACGUAGGGGGCAAGCGUUGUCCGGAAUUACUGGGCGUAAAGGUGGCGUAGGCGUAAUAUUAAGUCAGGUGUGAAACCCCACGGCUCAACUGUGGGCUUGCACAUGAAACUGGUAUGCUUGAGUGCAGGAGAGGAAAGUGGAAUUCCUAGUGUAGUGGUGAAAUGCGUAGAGAUUAGGAAGAACACCAGUGGCGAAGGCGACUUUCUGGACUGUAACUGACGCUGAGGCACGAAAGCGUGGGGAGCAAACA